GACGAACGCUGGCGGCGUGCUUAACACAUGCAAGUCGAGCGGAAAGGCCACUUCGGUGGUACUCGAGCGGCGAACGGGUGAGUAACACGUGAGUAAUCUGCCCCUGGCUUUGGGAUAGCCACCGGAAACGGUGAUUAAUACCGGAUACGACCACUUCUCGCAUGGGAUGGUGGUGGAAAGUUUUUUCGGCCAGGGAUGUGCUCGCGGCCUAUCAGCUUGAUGGUGAGGUAAUGGCUCACCAUGGCUUCGACGGGUAGCCGGCCUGAGAGGGUGGCCGGUCACACUGGGACUGAGACACGGCCCAGACUCCUACGGGAGGCAGCAGUGGGGAAUAUUGGACAAUGGGCGGAAGCCUGAUCCAGCAACGCCGCGUGAGGGAUGACGGCCUUCGGGUUGUAAACCUCUUUUAGCAGGGAAGAAGCGAAAGUGACGGUACCUGCAGAAAAAGCACCGGCUAACUACGUGCCAGCCGCCGCCGUAA
rnacentral:rRNA from 1 species